rnacentral:rRNA from 1 species
CCUACGGGGGGCUGCAGUGAGGAAUAUUGGUCAAUGGUCGGGAGACUGAACCAGCCAAGCCGCGUGAGGGAGGAAGGUACAGAGUAUCGUAAACCUCUUUUGUCAGGGAACAAAGACUGGGACGCGUCCCCGGAUGAGUGUACCUGAAGAAAAAGCAUCGGCUAACUCCGUGCCAGCAGCCGCGGUAAUACGGAGGAUGCGAGCUUUAUCCGGAUUUAUUGGGUUUAAGGGGUGCGCAGGCGGUCUGUUAAGUCAGCGGUCAAAGCCCGGGGCUCAACCGCGGCCCGACGUUGAAACUGGCAGUUUCGAGUUGGAGAGAGGUAUGCGGAAUGCGCGGUGUAGCGGUGAAAUGCAUAGAUAUCGCGCAGAACUCCGAUUGCGAAGGCAGCAUGCCGGCUCCACACUGACGCUGAGGCACGAAAGCGUGGGUAUCGAACAGGAUUAGAUACCCGAGUAGUC